rnacentral:rRNA from 1 species
AAACUUUCAACAACGGAUCUCUUGGCUCUGGCAUCGAUGAAGAACGCAGCAA